ensembl:lncRNA LINC01322 long intergenic non-protein coding RNA 1322
AUGAGCUUGGAGCCGCAGGGCUUAAUCCCGCGCGGCUCAGAGAUGGGUUUCUGGACUCGCGAAGCAGCUGCAACAAGGCAUCACUCACUGUAUAAGUAUUUCCAUUUCUGAGAGCAAAAGGAAGAACUUAAGCGGGCGGCACUUGGAGUGUAAAUUGCUUUGUAGUAUUUAAAGGCAGAAUGGAUCCUGGGCAGCCGAGCUGAUCAUGAGGUUCCUGAGGCCUCCUAGCCAUGCUUCCUGUGCAGCCUAUGGAACUCAACAAACCGGCAGGACUUCCUGUGAAAUCAUGACCACCAUGUGCUCUUUCAGCCUCUAUCAGUUCCUACCUCUAAGCACCUGAGAGCCAAAGCAAACCACAGGAAACCACAGACUCAAACUAAACGUCAGCUUUUCCCGGCUCUCAAGCCUGCUGGUCCCUGAACUAAAACUCACAUUAUCAACUCUACUGGUUCUUAGGCCUUUGGAGUCAGACUGGAACUACAGCAUUGACUCUUCCGGAACUCCAGCUUACUGACUACAGAUCUUGGAACUUUUCAGCUUCCACAACCAUAAUGAAAGCCAAGCAUAUUCCAUCAUUUCCUAAAACCAAGAUAGAGCACAUAUGGGAACUUGUGAAAUAAGGAUGCCCUGCGGUUGUUUUCAGGACUGAAGACAACAGCUCCACGAUGUAUCUUUGCAUAAGAAUACACUUGUAUAAUAAGUUUUUUUUUUUAGAGAAAUUGCAUGUAUCUGCCUUAUAAACUUUUUCAUUCAUUCAUUUUCUUUCUUCCUAAUCUGUUCCAUAAAGCAAAUUUCUAACUUAUUGUUAAUCAAAAUAAUUAUUGAAAUAAUUAGUACUUUCAUAUGAUAAAGAUUAUUUUAAUCUGCAGCUACAAAAUAUGUAACUCAUUAAUAUUUAAACAAUCACAAUUUUCUAUUAACAUUAUAGCAUUUUAUCUACUACUAGAUCAGGAAUUAGCUAUUUUUUGUAAAAUUUCUUUGUAAGGCAAAGCAAUAGUAUUGUAUAUACUUUCCUAAAGAUUGUCAAGUUCAGUUUUGCUUAAAUUUAACAGUACAUGUGACACUUUCUGUUUGAAGAAUAAGUUGGUUUUAAGUUUAUACCAAACAAAAGCAUCUCUUUUGUUUUGCAAAAUCUGAAACUUUGAUCUUUCUAGUUGUGACUUCUUGUAAAUAUGUUUUAUAUAAAUAUUCUAUGAAUUGGUUAUUAACAAGGUAAAGAAAGAUUGAUAUGUAAGCUGAUUCUUAAACAUUAAUUUUCUGGAGAUAAACUUUUUUAAAAUUAUGCUUUAAAAAUAUUUUAACACAUGUUAUCAAAAAGGAACUGAAAUAUCUUAGGCAUAAAAGACAUCUCUAGAGGUCAUUAUUCAGUUUCCAGAAAGUACUGAAACUAUCUCUGACAGAUUGAUACGUUUUCUGCAUUUAUAGCUCUCUGGAGAGAGGUUCUGUAUAUUUAACAAUUCUCACUGUGAGGGAUAUUUUAAGUAUUUCAAAUUUAAAGUGCUCAUGUUUCAGAUUCAGAUUAUUAUUAUCAUCAUCAUUAUUUUGGUUCUGGCUUCAGUAAAAAUGUGAAAAACACUUUUCCAUCUUCUGAUAAUAUUUCAUAUUUAUAAAAUUAUUAUUAAGUUAUAACUCAGCUUUUUCAUUUAUGCUUUAAAUCCUUUUAUUAUCUCAUCACAACCAUCUUUGACUGUUUAUCAGAAAUGGUUCUCUUUUGUACAUUGACCAUUAUUUUAUAGAUCACAUUUAAGUUAAUAUAAAUCAUGCCUAUAAAUUUCAGCCUGCUUAUUUUUUAUAAUCUAGUCAGAUAUCAGCUAGACAUAUUGUUACCAAGUUUGGAGAGCCUUGGGAUAAGCUAGUUUCAAAACUGGCUGUUAGCAUCCCUCAGUUGUGUUUUGGGAGCAAAGGACACCCUUAAAAAAGGGAGGCAGUUAUAUUUUGUGAGC